rnacentral:rRNA from 1 species
AACGAACGCUGGCGGCAUGCCUAACACAUGCAAGUCGAACGAGACCUUCGGGUCUAGUGGCGCACGGGUGCGUAACGCGUGGGAACCUGCCCUUAGGUUCGGAAUAACUCCCCGAAAGGGGUGCUAAUACCGGAUAAUGUCUUCGGACCAAAGAUUUAUCGCCUUUGGAUGGGCCCGCGUUGGAUUAGCUAGUUGGUAGGGUAAAAGCCUACCAAGGCGACGAUGCAUAGCUGGUCUGAGAGGAUGAUCAGCCACACUGGGACUGAGACACGGCCCAGACUCCUACGGGAGGCAGCAGUGGGGAAUAUUGGAAAAUGGGCGAAAGCAUGAUCCAGCAAUGCCGCGUGAGUGAUGAAGGCCUUAGGGUUGUAAAGCUCUUUUAACCGGGAUGAUAAUGACAGUACCGGGAGAAUAAGCCCCGGCUAACUCCGUG